CUGGUUUCACAGCAGGUCAAAGUCUACGGAGUUGGCUCGAAGGGGGAGGUGGGGGGGACAGAGUGUGACAGGGAGAUUAAGCUCAGCUCAGCGGGGCUCGUUUCAGCGGGAAGCAAAAAGACCUCGAUGGAGCAGCUCGGCCAGGCACAGAGAACUUGUCCCCAGCCAGGCGAGGAGGGGGGAGAGCUGGGGAAACCGAGGGAUGCAGGAGGCAGGCCAGGUUGGGCCCCAGCAUCAGUCCCCCACCUGGAACAGACCUCUCGGGCUCUGGUUGGCUCGCUGGGGAUGCCUCCUGCCCUAUCACAUACCUGCGUGGUUGCCAGGCAACUGGGACUGAGUUGUAACACCUAGGCAGAGAGCCUGAUGGUGUUUUCCUUUCUCAGCGGUUGUGAGCACUCGCCUUCAAAGUUGUGGAGGAAGGAUUUUUUGGUGGUUGUAAUUUUCAGUUCUGGAGAACCACCCCCAUCCCUGCUUGGUCAAGACUGUCCCCCGAUCCCGUUUGAUGAGGAACCAGAGGCAGAUGGAGGUUAAGUGACUUGUCCAGGAUCACACAGCUGGGAAGUGUCAGAGACCAGAUUUGAACCCAGGACCUCCUGUCUCUAGGUCUGGCUCUCCAUCCACUGAGCCACCCAGCUGCCCCCGUGCCUCCUUUUUGAUCUCAGGCAAGUCACAAACUCCUGUGCCUCAGUUUCUUUAUCUGAGAUACAUCUUUCCCAGUUCUAGAGCUCCGAUCCUCUGACUUCUUCCUGCUCUUUCCCCCCAUUCCCCAAACAACCCUGCUGUUAUUGUUUAUUCCCAGCACCUUGUACAUAGUAGGGAUUGAACAGAUGAGAAGUUGAGUGUUCUUACUGGCCCAGAGACCUCCGUGGACCUCAGUUUCCUCCUCUGUAAAAUGGUGAGCGAUGGGCUCAAUGGCCCCUUGGGUCCCUCCCAACCCUCUGCUCCUGGAGGGAGCUGGCCUAGGUCCCUCAGGUCCUUGCCGCCCAGAGGUGGGUGGAUGGUGGGGGCAGGGAGGGAGGCUUGGGUCUGGACAGCGCCAGGGCUCCCACCUGGCACGCGGCACCCUUGGCAUCCCCCAGCCUCUUCCCUCCCUAUUGCUCAGCCAGAACUCCGUUUGGGAAGAAGAACCCAGUGUUCUCACCAAAGCAUCUUGCAAACAUUCAAUACCAGCUGCUCCGCCUCCCCCUCCCUCCCCGCCCCCCGGCCAAGUAGCUCUUGAAAUCUCGCUAGUCCCCACUUUCUCCAAACGGAGGCCCGGCACCAAGACCUCAGAGCUGGGCCCGGGCAGCCCGCUCCCAGAAGCCCCUGGGACUCGGCUGGCCCGGGAGAGCGCUCCAUUAGGCAUGUGCGCCCCCCCCCCCCCGCCCCCAGGGGCCGGCUCGCGCCUCCCCACGGCUCCCCACCCGCCUGGAGCAAACCACCUCGCUCCCAUCGGGCCCAUUUGGAGAGGUGUUUGUUUGGUCGUAUUGUUUCUCCUCCUGGCCGUCCAGUCCAUCAUCCCCCAUCAGAAUGAGUGACUGCGGCGGCGGCGGCGGCGGCGGCGGCGCUGCUCCGGAGCUGGCUGGCUGGCUCACUCCUCCCGAGAAGGGAGAGAACAAGGGCGCCUUCGGAGAGGGAGGAAAAUCAUAUGUUAUUUUUAAAAGGCAUUUUGAGUGAGAGCUGAAUAGAGUUCAAGGAAAUUGCCUUAAAGACCCGCUCUCCGCGGGGAUGGCUUUUUCAGGGCCCACAAGUAUUUGGGAACUUAAUUGCACAUUUGUACGGGCUACUGUUUUUAUUUCUCUCCGGGCUCCGGGGUGGGCUUUGAAGAUUGCUGUCUCCCGGUAAUGGGUUUCUUUAUCUCAAAUAAAUUUCGCACACCUGCGAGGGGGAGAUGCUGGCAAGAGAGCCGCCAGGAGAAUGGGCCGGCGAUGCAAUCAGCUGGCAAAUGGAGCGGGGGUGUAAGGAGGAGAGGCGAUGGGGGGCUGCCCUCCCUCCCUCCCUGAUGCCAGCCCCUGCCCCAGCUUCAGCCCUUGCCCAGACCCUAGCUCCCCCCUUCUCAGUUCCCACCCACCCUGUGCUUCCCCAGGCCCAACGCUUGCCUCUUUCUCCCAGUCUUUGCCUAGUCCCUAGCCCUCCCCCUUUUCAGCCUCAGUUCCUCCCCAAGCCUGUACCGCUCCCUCCUCCCCUGGCCCAGUGCCUGCGCUUCUCUCCCAGGCUCUCCUCCUCAGCCCGGGUUCCGCCUCAAUUCUGUGGUCCCUCCUCUUCUUCCCGCCCAACAUUUGCCCCUCUCCCCCAGCCCCAGGUCUGCCCCAAGCCUGGGUCCCCUCCCCCUUUUCCAAUCCCAACUCCAGCUCGUUUCACCCCAUUUCCACCCAGACUCUCCCCCUUUCCCAGCUUCUGCCCAGGCCUUGGCCCCCCCAGCUUCGCCCACACUUUCAUCCCCUACACUCUACCUCUCCCAGUUCAUACCUCUGUCCAGCUCCUUCCUCUUCUUUUCCUUUUCCAAUCCUUCCCAGCUUCAACUGAGGAGCAGGUCAACAAGCAUUUACUAAGAGCCUACUAAUAUAGAGGGGGCAGCUGGCUGGCUGGCUGGCUCAGGGCAUUGGGAGCCAGGCUCAGAGACAGGAGCUCCUGGGUUCAGAUCUGGCCUGACACUUCCCAGCUGGGUGACCCUGGGCAAGUCACUUCACCCCCAUUGCCUAGCCCUUACUGCUCUUCUGCCCUGGAACUGCUAUACAAUAUUGAUUCUAUAACAAAGAGUGAGGGUUAUAAGUUAUGAAGGAAACACUAGGAUACAGAGAAAGGCAAGUUCCAGCCUCAGACCCUAAGCACCCUCCCCACCCUUGCCCCUUUUCCAGCCACAGGCCAGCAAUCCUGGCAGAUUAGCUUCCUUCUCUUGGGAGCAGAGCUGCCUAGCUGACCUCCUGCCCAAACUUCUUCCCUUCUUUCUUCUUGUUGCACCCCCUUUUCCUAGCCUUCUGCAGAAAGCCACCCACCUCUCCGUGAAGCCUUUCCCAUCGUGCCAAGCCAAGAAAGGACUUUGUAUCUGCUUUGUCUAUAACUCACAUCACUUAGGUUUGCUCAGAAGAUUUCCCAGGAGAGUCUUGAAGCCCCUGGAGGGUGGGAAAUAUUAGGGUUUUGACUUUUUUUUUGUCUGUGUAGUCCAUUUUAUUAGAGAAGGGAGCUCCAGGUGAGAAAGCUCGCCAAAGCUGACCUUUGUACCAUUUGCAGUCUCCAGGAGGGGUGUGUGUGUGUGUGUGUGUGUGUGUGUGUGUACCAUCUACUUUAUCAGUGGGCCAAAAGAUGCUAAAUAAAUAUUUAUUGAUGGAUGGAUGGAUGGGUGGAUGGAUGGAUGGAUGGACAGAUGGAUGCAUAAAUGGGUGGAUGGAUGGAUGAGGGCUGUUGAAGGGGAGAUGGGAGACAGAUGAAUGACUUCUGCCUUUGAUGGAGAGUUUAUAUUCUGGGCUUCAGCUCUCCAGUUAAUUGCAAAAGAGUCAGGUUUCCAGUAAAGAAACACUUAUCUCCUCUCUUUCCCCACUUUGGUUUUUUUCUCCUAAGGAGCAUGAUAUUUGGACUAAAAAAUGAUUGUUAGGGAAUGAGUACUUGAACGGAAAGAGUUCUGUUGGAAUCAGAGGCUUAGGGUUCAAAUUGCAGCUCCAUUCCUUACUACUUGUAUAAACUUGUCCAAGUUCCUCUCUGGGUCUCAGUUUCCUCAACUAUGAAAUAAAUAAGGGAGGUGGGACAAGAUGUAAAAGACCCUACAGUCUUUACAAUUCUAAAUCUAGAAUCCUUUUUCAAGAAGCCCCGGUCCACUUUGAACUGUUUCAACAUUUUUGGACAGGUCCUUGAUCUUAGGCCUAAUUUAAGGGCGAUCAAUGCCUUUGGGAAUUCAGGAAUGAACCAGGGUCUUGGACUGUUGAGGGAAACUGGGAGAGUCCUCACUGGGCCUCAGAAAGCACAAUCUUCCUGGUAGGAAUGGUGGCAGGAAAUUCAUUUUGCUUUGGCAUUGCCUUCUUUUCCUCUGUUCCCUAUCCUCAUUGCAAAGACCUAAACAUGGAAAGGCUGGGGCUAAAAGGGCCAAUAAAAAUGGCCAGGGGAAGCAGACCCGAAGCCCAGGGAGUCCAGAGCCCUCAUUUGACUAAAUGAAUAAAGACUAACUAGGAUCCCCUGGCCAAAAAUUUGAAGAGAAACCGAUGGAGAGGGAUGAGAUAGAUACUCAAGAAUAAAAUGAAGAUGAGGAAAUUGUUAGCCAAGAAGGCUGACUCAUUUGCCCAAGUAGUAAAUAGAGGAGGCAGAAUUCACACCCAUAUCCUCUGACUCCAAGCUGAUUCCCCUUAGGCUAGUCCUUGCUUCCUGGUUCAUUAAGUCCACCUUGACUGAUGGAUGCAUGGAUGGAUGCAUGCAUGCAUAGUGGGCCUUUAGACUCAUCAGCCUGCCUCAGGUGAGAGACAUUGCAAGGGGGUCAAAUCAUUAGCAUGUGUGCCAUCCUCCUUUCAAAGACUUUCGCUUCAGCUGGACCUGACAGGAAAGCCAGUGGAUGUGUAUUCUCUUGUGGCUGCAUUUGUUUCAGUCUUCCAUUGGGAAAGUGGCCAACACCAAUUAUCCCAACACUUGGUCCUGCCUAAGGAUGCCCAACUACUUCUGGUGGGCACGACAAACCAGGGGGUGCCUCCUAGAACUCGCUUGUCACACUGCACUGGAUCUCUUCCACCCACUGAAGGUCGAGGCUCCCAACUGGUCCUCACAACACCAGGUUGUCUCCAGUUGUCCAGCAGCCGUUCCAAGGCCAUCUGGACCAGCGACAGGUUCUUGGGCCUCAUUCCAUAUUUUAAUCUGUGAGCCUUGAUAACAAGAGGCUGGUGGCACAGAAAAUAUGCAGAGAGAAAAAUAUAUCCAUCAGCCAGCGGGUAUUUAUUUAUCGUGCGGCUGAUAAACUCUUGAUUUUCCCUAAUGAUAAUUUCAUUCUUUAAAAGGUAGGGAAAACAUCAAGGGAAACAUCUCUCCUGGACCUGAUUCUGCCCAAUACAUAAGAAUCAGCUGCUAAAGGAAAAAUGAGAGGAACCUCCGGAGGAAAUGAACACUCCAUCUUUGAGUUUGUAAUAAUAGAUAAGGAGGAAGAAGUCUGGCAUAAGCUGCGGCAAACCCUCAGUUUUAGGAGACUGUAUUUGAAUAGUUCAAUCCAUCUGUAAGCAUUUCUUCUAUGCCAGGCACUGAGCUAAGCAGUGGCUAAAACAGUCUCUGUCCUCAAGGAGCUUCUCUCCUAAUUAGGGAUAAGCUAUUGUUAUUCCAUCAUUAUUUCAGUUGGGUCCAAUUCUUUGUGACCCCGUUUGGGUCAAAGAUGGCUUGCCAUUUCCUUCUCCAGCACAUUUGACAGAUGAGACAAACAGGGUUAAGUGACUUGCCCAAGGUCACACAGCUAGUAUGUGUCUGAAGCCAGAUUUGAAUUCAUGAAGUUGAAUCUUUCUGACUCUAUGUCGGGUGCCCUGUUCAUUAAGCCACCUAGCUGCCCUACGCAAAACCAUUACAUAUUCAAUGAAAACAGGGUGAUUGGAAAGUUUUCUUGGAGAGGAAGAAUAAGUAGGAUGCCAUGGCCUAAAAUUUUGAAGAGAAACUGGACCAAGAGGGAUGAGAUGUUCAAGAAUAAAAUCAGGAUCACACUAACAUACAAAUCUGGUGAGAAGGAAGGAUAACCCAGUUUGCCUCAGUUUCCUCAUCUGUCAAAAAUGAGGUGGAAAAGGUAAUGGCAAACCACUCCUGUAUCUUUGCAGAGAAAACCCUAAAUGGGGUCAUAAAGAGUCAGACAUGACUGAAAAAUGACUAAGGACAACAGAGCAUUUUCAAGUUUACAAUGGGGAACUGUCCAAAGGAAGAUAAUGACAGGAGACCACAAAAGGGCAAAUGCAAUGGAGACACACACACACAGGCUACACCCUAGGCACAUCUAUGGUUAAAAAGACCAAAGUCAGGAAGGAGCUGAGGCUGGUGGUGGUUGCUCAUGUUAUUUUGGAGCCGAGAGGAAGAUCAAAGAAAGGAUAGGACAGAUAUUCAGUGUAGAAAGGAAAGUGGUAAAGGAUAACAGAGAAAAUAAAAAAGCUAUUCAAUACUAA